GAAACAAAACAAAUUAAUUCAAAAAUCAUAGUGUAAUUGUCAAUGAAUAACAUCUCAAAAACUGACACAGUUGAUAGCAAGGGAUAUUGAGAGUUUCCGAAUUGCCUAAAAAGUUAUUUAAAAAAAUACCUAAAAACUAGAAUGAAAGUACCUUGGAAACAUUUGCCCUCCCUGGAUGAAGUACGUCAACAACCUGCAACACAAACAUGUAUAUAUAGAAGAAAGGAUUAGGGGUGCCAGCGCUAAGAAUCACUACCUCUUUAAUCAGGAAAACAACUUCUACAUUCCAUAAACUAGAAGACAACUAACUAAGAAACAUGAACCAUCUACUAGCCAACAAUCAUACAAAUGUGAAAAUCACGCCACUCGUUACAUGGACUAAGAUCAAACGUGCUAUAACAAUAGGCAAUUAAACAAAAUCGUUUCGUCAAGACACACGACUGAAUUAAAUAUACACGAUUCUCACAAAAGCACAUCCGAUCAGUCAGAAUCAUACGGCUAAUGGAUUACAAUUAUUACAGAUAUGUGAGCAGCAACAAAAAUCAGAAACAAAAAAUAAAUAAGACUCGGAAAAGCAGUUUAAACAAUCAUUUGCAUUUGCAGAUUCGCAUCGAAAAAAAAAAAAGUACAGGAAAACUCACAAACUGCUUCCUGGAAAGAAGCCUGUUAGUCAUGAACUUGCGAGUUCGAAUUGUAACAGCCUUGUCCGCCAUACUGUUGGAUGAGGUUUGGCACUGAAGAACUUCACACAGAUGCGGUUACAGC
rnacentral:lncRNA from 1 species